rnacentral:rRNA from 1 species
CUGGUGUCAGCCGCCGCGGUAAUACCAGCUCUCCGAGUGGUAGGGACGAUUAUUGGGCUUAAAGCGUCCGUAGCCUGUUCAGUAAGUCUUCCGUUAAAUUCAGCGACCCAAUCGUUGAGCUGCGGGGGAUACUGCUGGGCUAGGAGGCGGGAGAGGCCAACGGUAUUCCCGGGGUAGGGGUGAAAUCCUAUAAUCCCGGGAGGACCACCAGUGGCGAAGGCUGUUGGCUAGAACGCGCUCGACGGUGAGGGACGAAAGCUGGGGGAGCGAACCGGAUUAGAUACCCGGGUAGUCCCAGCCGUAAACGAUGCGGGCUAGGUGUUGGGGUGGCUACGAGCCACUUCAGUGCCGCAGGGAAGCCAUUAAGCCCGCCGCCUGGGGAGUACGGCCGCAAGGCUGAAACUUAAAGGAAUUGGCGGGGGAGCACCACAAGGCGUGAAGCUUGCGGUUCGAUUGGAGUCAACGCCGGGAACCUUACCGGGAGCGACAGCAGGAUGAAAGCCAGAUUGAAGGUCUUGCUGGACAAGCU